rnacentral:lncRNA from 1 species
UUUAGUAGUACCGACCAACGGAAUGGUGCUAAGUAUUUUGCCCGGUUUCGUAACGAUUCUGCCAGCUUGCCACUUUCCCGGUGCGAGAUCGAACCCUAGUCACCCGCGUCACAGUGCAGAAAGUGAAAGAAAAUACUCAAUACAAACAAAACAUGAUUGAGUAGAGCCACCUACUGGAUCAUUCAGGAAAUAACCUUUUUAAAGGGAAACAACUUCUUCAGACUAUUCUUUCUAACGUGUACUGCCGCGCUGUUUACAUUUCGAAAUGAUAUUGACACCAUACUGGAAUCAUGUAAAGGG